CACCCUUACACAGACAUACGCCUAGGCAAAACACCAACACACACAAAAUAAAAUAAAAAAAGCAAAACAGAAGGGCCUAGGCCUGGCCCAGGAUGAUGUGGUAGAUGAUGUGGUAGACUUUGGGGAGCCCCUUUUGAGGGCCUUACCCUGUCUGGGGAGUGGAGGGGGGGAUGGCUAGGGGCAGGUGGGAUGUUGGGGGGGAGGGGAGGAAGAGGGAGAGGGAGAGGGAGAAAGGAUUGACAUCUGAAGCAAGCAUGUUCCUAAUUUGAACUAAUUAAAUUAAAUUAAAAAAAAAGCAAAACAAAAAGCAGAGUUUGUGUCAAGUCAGGCAAGGGUGUGGCUGCUGGCCAGAGACCCAGGUGUCACUGACACCUUGCUCUGGGAACUCCCAGCACCUCUUCCCAGGUGUCAGAUGCUGGUUUGUUUGUGUUGUCCACAGUGAAAGCUCAUUGGAGGGGCUCACAGUUGAGAAGGUCCCAGCCCUGUGGCUGGGAUUUCCCCUCUCUGCCUUGAGUUUCCUUGAUCUGAUUAUCUUGGGCUUGUCUUGCUGGGUGACUCAGGCGCUUGAGCAAGUUUAGGUACUAGGUUUCACAGCUCUGGGGGUGGGGAAACCUGGUCUCUCCUGGGAAAUAGUCAUUAGAUAUUGACAAAAGCAUCACUGUCAGGCUCCAGCUUCAGAAAAAGACUCUCCAAGCCUUGAUUCUUAUCAAAUAAAGUAACAAUACCAUCAUCUAGUGCAGGACUUCUCACCCUGGGGUCCACCACACACACACACACACACACACACACACACACACACACACACACACACAGGCUGCAUAUCAGAUGUCCUGCCUAUCAGUUAUCUACAUUAAGAUUCAUAACAGUAGCUAAAUUGCAGUUAUGAAAUAGCAGCAAAAUGAGUUUAUGGUAUGUGUGUGUGGGGUCACCACAACAUGGAGAACAGUAUUAAAGGGUUACAGCUCUAAUGGGCUAUUGAGAGAUUGUAACAUUGCCAAGGAAAGGCUCUGCGGCCCAGAGGCCGGUCUGUGAGGUGAGCUUUCACCAUUUGUCUUUUGCCAGGACGAAGGUGAGAGUCUGUCAGAUGAAAUCGCUUGCCUGGGGCAGCUAGCAAAUAACUUCCCACAUCCCAUGUCCGGAACCACUAUGCGCCCUGCUCUUCUAAGAAUGUCUCCAGGAGACCCAGCCAAGACUACGGCUGAGGACCAAGUGUCCCCUUCCAAGAAGCUGCUUUUCCGCUAGUUGGGCUGACAGGGAAGAGAUGCGCCUCUAAGCUGCUUCUGAGGCGCCCAUCACUGGAAGACCCCUUGUGGUAGCCUCCUCUACACAGCUUAGAUAAAGAGUCUAUUAGCUUCCCCAGAGCGGGUUCUGGAAGCUGGAUCUGGCACGAAGCAGAAGUCAGCCCCUCAGCGGUGCCUCUUCCUUCAGCCUACCAUCCUCGCCCCUCCCACUGGAUUCCCGACACUGGAUUUCUCUCGCCAGCGUCCCUGAGCCCAGGGCACAGGAUCAUUUCUUCCUAAACUGUCCCUGGAGCCAGGGCAGUUAUGCAUCCUGCCCGCCACUGUUGUCAGUGCACACUUGCAGAGGUUUCUGUGGAAUUCAGGCUUCAGUAAACACUUGAGAAGGAGGAAGUGGGCCAAGAAAUCCGAGGACGAUUGCAUCAGGACUGGCGCACACUGCCCUUUCCCAUCUCCGUCUCUGAGAAGCCCUCCCUCUUUGUCCUGGAGGGGCGGGGAGGCAAUUAAGGCCUUGGACCAUCCCCUGGCCUUCUCUGGGCCCCCUGGUCUAGGGGAGAGGCUAAUGCUGGAAUCGAGAGAGACAGCACCUAGAGAGGCCUGGUGGCAGGGUGAGGUUGGAUUGCUAGUUCAAAGAGAGCCUGGGCUAUGCAGUGAGACACCAUCUCAAAAUGAAAAAAAAAGAAAAAAGGUGCCUUGGCCAGUGAGGUCUAGUAGAGGAACGGAGAAACAAGGAGCCAAGGAAGCAGGCAGAGGAGAUCAGGAUCCUGUCCCCUCUUCUCUUCUUCCAUUUUACAGAAGCCGGGGAGAAAUAUGAAAACUCAACUGUGCCCUGCACCAGCCUCCGCCCCCAAGUUAAGGAACACAAAAGAGAAAUGCCAGGAGACGUGAGCAUUCCCUUCAGAGCCGCCGCUGGUCAUGAAACCCCAUCAUCACUUAAAUCGCCCUAUUUUAAAGGAUCUGUUGCAAAGGAUUUGGCUUGAAGAUUCUAAACUCUAUUUAGCUCCAGGCCUUAAUCACUGCGGAGCUGAGAAUUUUAUAAUCACAAAGAUGGAAGAAUCCUAGAGGUCAAGUGGCUCAGAGAUUCUCCAAUGUUUAGACUUUAUCAAAAUUUAAAGUUUGGAAAAUGAAGAGGGAGAUGUCUAAGAGCUUUUAAGUCUGGAAAAACACAACUAUCAAAUAAACGCAACUAUCUUGUGUGGCAACUGUCACUUUACAUUUGUAGACUCAAACAGGAGGAUGGUUACAUUUUUACAUUAGUGAGGCGGCCUUAAACAGAAGAAAUUCAACACACACGUACACACUUUGAGCAGGGACAUGGUGGCACAUGCCUGUAAUCCCCAGCACUUGGAAGGUGGAAGCAGAAGAAUCAGGCACUCAAAGUCAUCCUCAGUGACACAAUAAGUUCAAGGCCAACUUGGCUUUAUGAGAUGAAAAAAAUUCACCACUAUUGGUAUUUUUCUUAUUUCAUGCAUUAGCUCCAGACAGAGGGUGAACAUUUGAAAACUACUGACCUGUUUACUGUUCAUUUGUUUUCAAGACAAGCUUUCUCUGCAUGGCCCUGGCUAUUAUGAAACUCUGUAGACCAGGCUGGCCUCAAACUCACAGAGGUCCACCUGCCUCUGCCUCCCGAGUGCUGGGACUAAAGGCGUGUG
rnacentral:lncRNA from 1 species